UACUGACACAAGUAUGUAGUCACCGUGGUGUUCCUCUCUCCUGACACAAGUAUGUAGUCACCGUGGUGUUCCUCUCUCCUGACACAAGUAUGUAGACACCGUGGUGUUCCCCUCUCCUGACACAAGUAUGUAGACACCGUGGUGUUCCCCUCUCCUGACACAAGUAUGUAGUCACCGUGGUGUUCCUCUCUCCUGACACAAGUAUGUAGUCACCGUGGUGUUCCCCUCUCCUGACACAGGUAUGUAGACACCGUGGUGUUCCCCUCUCCUGACACAAGUAUGUAGUCACCGUGGUGUUCCUCUCUCCUGACACAAGUAUGUAGUCACCGUGGUGUUCCCCUCUCCUGACACAAGUAUGUAGACACCGUGGUGUUCCUCUCUCCUGACACAAGUAUGUAGUCACCGUGGUGUUCCCCUCUCCUGACACAAGUAUGUAGUCACCGUGGUGUUCCCCUCUCCUGACACAAAUAUGUAGACACCGUGGUGUUCCCCUCUCCUGACACAAGUAUGUAGACACCGUGGUGUUCCCCUCUCCUGACACAAGUAUGUAGUCACCGUGGUGUUCCCCUCUCCU